AACGAACGCUGGCGGCAUGCCUAACACAUGCAAGUCGAACGAGACCUUCGGGUCUAGUGGCGCACGGGUGCGUCACACGUGGGAAUCUGCCCUUUGCUUCGGAAUAACAGUUAGAAAUGACUGCUAAUACCGGAUGAUGUCGAAAGACCAAAGAUUUAUCGGCAAAGGAUGAGCCCGCGUAGGAUUAGGUAGUUGGUGGGGUAAAGGCCUACCAAGCCGACGAUCCUUAGCUGGUCUGAGAGGAUGAUCAGCCACACUGGGACUGAGACACGGCCCAGACUCCUACGGGAGGCAGCAGUGGGGAAUAUUGGACAAUGGGCGAAAGCCUGAUCCAGCAAUGCCGCGUGAGUGAUGAAGGCCUUAGGGUUGUAAAGCUCUUUUACCAGGGAUGAUAAUGACAGUACCUGGAGAAUAAGCUCCGGCUAACUCCGUG
rnacentral:rRNA from 1 species